AAGCAUUUGAAGGGCUCCAGGUUGGGGAGGGCCUAGACAACAAUCUGUCCUACAGAGAGUUGUUAAAACCUCACCUGCUGCUGCUGACUUGAGAGUUCUGAAGCCGUCGCCUAUGAGAUCAUAAUUGGAGAGUGAUGGAAAGCUUGGCAUUCAGCAGCUCUGAAACCAACAAACCUAACUAACUUCUAAGCUCAGUAUUCAGGCAACUGGAAAACCUUCAGACAACUGGGGAAAACACAGGCAAGGAAAGGACCAGGAAAACCAGAGUACUUAAUUUUACAGGAUAUGCAUUCCUCACACCUACAGGACAAUCUACCAUUAACUCUCCUGUAGGAAGGCUUCUAGGAACGGGAGACAGGAGAACACCCCACCCCUAGAUUUGCUUCCCUCACCACACGGUGAUCUACUGCCCUGUUGGAAGGAUUCUGAUGUAUUUUAAUAUCUUA